AGUGAACGCUGGCGGUAGGCCUAACACAUGCAAGUCGAACGGUAGCACACUAAGAGCUUGCUCUUACGGGUGGCGAGUGGCGGACGGGUGAGGAAUACAUCGGCAUCUACUUUUUCGUGGGGGUUGACGUCGGGAAAUAUACGCUAAUACCGCAUACUACCUACGGGUGAAAGCAGGGGAUCUUCGGACCUUUCGCGAUUACACGAGCCGAUGUCGGAUUAGCUAGUUGGCGGGGUAAAGGACCACCAAGGCGACGAUCCGUAGCUGGUCUGAGAGGCUGAUCAGCCACACUGGAACUGGGACGCGGUCCAGACGCCUACGGGAGGCAGCAGUGGGGAAUAUUGGACAAUGGGCGCAAGCCUGAUCCAGCCAGACCGCGUGGGUGAAGAAGGCCUUCGGGUUGUAAAGCCCUUUUGUUGGGAAAGAAAAGCAGCAGGUUAAUACCCCGCUGUUCUGACGGUACCCAAAGAAUAAGCACCGGCUAACUUCGUG
rnacentral:rRNA from 1 species